rnacentral:lncRNA from 1 species
AUGAGCCGGCCGUUCCAUUGUCCAGGGUCUCCUCANNNNNCCUUGGCUCUUUCCAUCUGUGCCCCUAGCUUGUCAAUGCCCGCUGGGGGAAGGUUUUGUUCUUUGGCACAUGUUAAAUAUUGUAAAAGGCGGUGUACACUGUACAUUAAAAAAAGGUCUAACAACAAUGCAAUACCACUUUGUCCAUCAAACGCAGCCUUGGGCCUUGAUCGUUUCCCCAGAUACGCAGACGUGCACAGCCAUGUAUUUUGUAAAACAGGCUGCCCUGCUUUCCAGGAGAAGUGGUUUUUAGCUGUGAGGAGGCAUCAAGUGUUCAAGUUAAUUGGACAGUUUUGUGUAACAGUUUCAUUGAGCUUCAUCCCCUAAACUGUCACCUACUUGAAAAUUAUUUGGGAUUAAAAUAAUCCAAUAAUAAAUCCAAACUGGCCAGAGUGGGAGAAUUUCAGCACGGACACGCGCCUAUGAAACUUUGCUUUUUUUCUUUUUCUGGGUCAUAAAGCUAAUAAAAUAUACUUUCCACCUCCCGACGUUCCCCACAUUUUCAUAUAAAUUAUUUCUCACCUAUGUUCUACUUUCCUUUAAGCCUAUGUUUUUUCCCCAGGCCAAGAGCCUUGGUUAAUUUCCUUAGAUAAAUGUCGGUUACCUCUGAUAAGAAAAAGCGCACUAGAGAGAGUUAGAUGGAGCAGCUAGCCAUCUCAGUGAGCUUGCAAUGACAGAUAAACUUCUUGACAAAUUAGUUAACAGAAGCUCUUAUUUGACUUGUGGGAUAAACUUCAGAGGGAAGCAGAGAGAAAAAUGUACAUUUUAUGAAAACAAUGGUAUGUCAACAGAUGAAGCAUUUUGUGUAUAUUACGGGAUGCGUGGAUACCAGGCACCGUAGGAGACCCAAAGACUGCGUGCAUUUGGCCCCAGCGCCCCUGGGGCUCAUGACUUCACCGGGAGCACACAGAAGGGGAGACUGGUGGCUGCUGAAGGGUUGAAUCUUGUGCACCCGGGCAGUCUCCUUGUGUUUCCGGAUGGGGGAUAGGUCAGGCUAGCCUGGCUGCAUUCCUGCCCUGAUGAAGUGUGAGGCCCCAAGUUGGCUUUCUUCCCUGUCUAUACGUCCAGAGAGCCCUCUCCCUCCUCACACAGCCUUGGGGGCUGUGGAGAAACAUGGUGAAUAAUCCUUGACACUUAGAGACCCAGGAGGCACUUGAUAAAAAAGGGCCGAUGCAGAAACUGAGAGUUCAGGCUCACUCCAGGGUCUUGGGGUGUCAGUGGUGGGGAUUCUGUUCGACAUAGCUGUGACAUUCUUUGCCACCUGAUGAUGCUUUGAAGAUCUUGAGCUAAUUUUUCAUGGAGGAGAUGGAGAGGUGGUGGGCGAGGAAGAAAGGGCGUAUUGUAAGGAGGAGAGAAGAAGAUUGAAUGGGGCUUUCAAAGUGGUGUGGAGCAAGGUGAGCCUGGGUGUCAUCAAAAGCUGGCCCGUGCUUUGGCUAGUGGUAAGCGUGUGUUGGGGUGGCAGAGGUCAACUCCUAGCCUCCCCUAGCAUCGCCGCACUAGUGAAACACCCUUGCAUUGGACAUUGAGGAGCCUGAAGCAGAAGGGCGGGAGGCUUUGCNNNNNNNNNNNNNNNNNNNNNNNNNNNNNNNNNNNNNNNNNNNNNNNNNNNNNNNNNNNNNNNNNNNNNNNNNNNNNNNNNNNNNNNNNNNNNNNNNNNUCUCCAGGCAAGAAUGCUGGAGUGGGUUGCCAUUUCCUUCUCCAGGGCAAGCUUCCCAAUCCAGGGAUCGAACCGAGGUCUCCCACAUUGCAGGCAGAGAGACUGGUAAAUAGCUGAGGAGAGGAGAAAGUCUUCAAUGUCUGCUCACAAAGUAACUCAUAUGUACUUAAGAGCAUCUUUAACAGGGAAGGCUACCUGGGCAGUUCUCGAGCACCAGUAUGUAGGAGACUUCUUGGGUGGCUCAGUGGUAAAGAAUCUGCCUGCAGUGCAGGAGAUACAGGUUCAAUCCCUGGGUCGGGAAGAUGCCCUGAAGGAGGGCACGGCAACACACUCUAGUACUCUUGCCUUGAGAAUCCCAUGGACAUAGGAGCCUGGCAGGCUAUAAUUCAUGGGGUUGCAAAGAGUUGGACACAACNNNNNNNNNNNNNNNNNNNNNNNNNNNNNNNNNNNNNNNNNNNNNNNNNNNNNNNNNNNNNNNNNNNNNNNNNNNNNNNNNNNNNNNNNNNNNNNNNNNGGAGCCUGGUGGGCUACAAUCCACGGGGUUGCAAAGAGUUGGACACGACUUAGGGACUCAACAACAACAGCAACAGAUUAGUGAGAACUGAUCUGCCCUGCCAACCGGGCUCGGAGGAUGCCCCCUCUUCUCCCCAUGCCCCUUACCCCGGCCUUGGUGUAAAGCCGUGAUCACUUACUUCCAUUGCUCUCCUCUGGGACAGCUUGAAACCUCAACCUGGGGAGAUGGGGAGUUGCAGGGGCCUGACUUUGCAGGGCCGAGGCGUCUGGAGGAGUUAGAUCUCCUCGCUCAGCAGUGGAAGCUGCUCUGGGCGCCUUGGUAGAGGUGGAUGGGAGACAAGCAGUGUUCAGGGAAGGUGGUCUGGCCACGGGGUGACCUAGUGAGGAGGGGGCGAGAGAAGUGACGGGUUAUUUGGGUGCAAGCUGAAAACUGAUGGCGUUUUCAGGCUCGGCACUUCUGGGUCAUCUUUGACUUCCUCCUCUGACAUUCCCUGUUUGUCUCCCUGGAAGUUCUUCAUGUUCAGUGCACAGCCGACUACCCAGGAAGCACGUGAAGAACAGAUUCCGGGGCUCCAUUCCCAGGGCCAGGAGCGAGCCUGGGAAUCUGCAUUUUCAACUUGCAUCCCAGGCUAUCCUAGUGCGGGGAACUGAGGACCAUUUUUGAGAAAGCUGACCUGGUUAGUAGUCAGGGUCUAUCAGGUUUGGAGCGUCUUUCUUCUUCUCUUUUGCCUCUCUGAUCAGCCCCUUCUUUCUGUUUUCCCUGCCGCUGUCCUCCUGGUCCCCUCCCCUUCCUCCCUGCUCACUGUUCUCUUCCAGAGCCUGCUCCCAUCGAAACCUCAGGGCAACCCCAGGCGGUCCCUCCCAUUAGCCUGGUUCCAGGGUCUCCUGUCUCUGUCCGCCACAGGCCUGUCUGGCCUCGCAGGCACAGCUCUCUUCCUCUUGCUGAGAAAUCUGCCCCGACCUCCUUGCUAAGUAAGUGGUGGCCCCUCGCCCCCCAUUUCUUUGCGUUUCUGCAGCUUCUGUUCCCCACACUGCUUAGUUAUGGGGAUGUGUUGGUUGUCAGCAUGUCAGAGGAGCCCAGGCUUUGAAUCUGGCAGCGACUCUCACCUCCAAAAACCGGUCCUGCAGGGUUUCCUGAUAUAAUUCCCAGAAAGAGACUUAAGUUUAGUGCUUAGUACAUAGGAUGUGUUUAUUCCAAUGUUGUUUCUUCCUCUUUUUCUUAUGUGUCCUGAAUCCCCAGCUGGACCAAAACACCCUCAAUAGACAAAAAAUGGGCUUUCCGUUCCCCUCUGUUUUCAGCAUUGAGCUUAGUUGGCUCGAUAGGUGAUAAUACAGAAAGCAGUCACAGUAGUGACGGGGGGUGGGGGGUAACGGUAAUAGCAAACGUAUAAGGUAUUUGUGACGUGCCAGACGUUGCAUAGAGCGUUACUCAUUGCAUCUUAACAGCAAAGCUUUGAGGUAGGCGCUGUUACGGACACGCGACGAGGAGAACUGGGCAUGGAGAGGCUGCGGGACCUGCCCAAGGGCACCCCGCUGCCAAGGCUUUGAAUUUGAACUCAGAACGACUGGCUGCCACCGCUGUACUCUAAUAGCACUGCAGUAAGAAAAAAGCCCAUUUCACGUAUGUAAAAUAUGUUGACCAUAUACAGAAACAGAGGGACGCAUACAAUGAAUUCCUAUUUAGGCCGCUUCAGUGAUCAUCAUCGUGUCCUAUUUUACUUUAUCUAUAGCCCCACCCCCUCCUUUGUCUCCAUUUUGUAUUUAUUUUGAGACAAAUCCUGGACAUACACCCUCCCUGUAAAUACUUAUGUAAGUAAGUAAGUAAGUAAGUAAGUGUUAGUCGCUCUUUGCCUGACUCUUUGCGACCCCAUGGACUGCAGCCCACCAGGCUCCU